rnacentral:rRNA from 1 species
AUUGAACGCUGGCGGCAUGCUUUACACAUGCAAGUCGAACGGUAACAGGCCUUCGGGCGCUGACGAGUGGCGAACGGGUGAGUAAUGCAUCGGAACGUGCCCAGUCGUGGGGGAUAACGCAGCGAAAGCUGUGCUAAUACCGCAUACGAUCUGCGGAUGAAAGCGGGGGACCUUCGGGCCUCGCGCGAUUGGAGCGGCCGAUGUCAGAUUAGGUAGUUGGUGGGGUAAAGGCUCACCAAGCCAACGAUCUGUAGCGGGUCUGAGAGGACGACCAGCCAGACUGGGACUGAGACACGGCCCAGACUCCUACGGGAGGCAGCAGUGGGGAAUUUUGGACAAUGGGCGCAAGCCUGAUCCAGCAAUGCCGCGUGCAGGAAGAAGGCCUUCGGGUUGUAAACUGCUUUUGUACGGAGCGAAAAGGCUCCCUCUAAUACAGGGGGCUCAUGACGGUACCGUAAGAAUAAGCACCGGCUAACUACGUGCCAGCAGCCGCAGUAACAC